CAUAUGUGAUGAAGGAAUUAUCAGCAAAAGAGAUCACUGAUAAAGGAGAAUUAUCCCAGAGGGUGAUGUUAGAAAGAAAUGAAAGUCAUGACAUCGAGGAUUUUCUCUUCAGGCUUCAACGGGAGCCAAUCCCAGACCAGAGGGGGGACUUCACUACCACCAAGAAGAAGAAUUAGAAGUGGGGUGUAUCCUUUGCACCUGGAGUUCCUGACUGCGAACCUCCUAGACCCAGGAGACAGAGAGCUGUCACAACAGAGAUGGUGAGAAGUGGUGGUGCAGACAUGGCAGAAGCAGGAGACGUCAUGGUGGGCUUCACAGCCCACAGAACCAGGUGAUUACAGUGGAUGUGCUGACCCACAGAGCGAGAGAGCUCAGUGCCUUCGGGCAGGCAGCUUAUUGGCUGAUUGGGAUGCUUACCGGCACUUGGCAAAGCUAGGCUCGAUAACCCACAGUGCUAGAGAGCUGACCGCCUUUGGGCCAAUGCUUACUGGUAGAGUGGGAUGCCUCUGGGCACUUAUUGGUAGACCUAAAGAUCUCUGUAAUACCCAAGCAGGGCAGAGGCUUGGGCUAGCCUGAGGGGCUGAGAGCCAGGAGCCAAAGGCCAUGGAGAGGCCUGCCUGUGGGCAUGACUAAGAACCUGUAUGACUGCAGGACUGUAUCCUGAGUCUUUUCUAACCCUGAAUUGUAACCUGUCACUUCCUUACCAAACUCCAUAAUUGUGAGUAUUGUCUGUGAGUUGUGUGUGGCAACUGCAAUGAACUAUCAAAUCCAGCAGAGAAAUAGUGCCAUGGGAUGUACAGCUGGUGUCAGAAUAGGUUAAAAAAAAAAAAAAGUUGGAGAGAGGAUGUAUGUGUGACCUCAGCUUCAUAGUAAUCAGCCAUGGGCUGAUGAUCUUGAUUUUCUUCCCCUGUGAAGUUAGAUGAAGAGGUCAGAUGACACUGCUGCCACAACAUUGUUAAAAGUGACUUUCUACCUGAGGUUUGAAAUUUGUAGCUAUUAUGCUUUCAUUACUGACCUUUCAUAGGUUCCCAUGAUUGUCUCCGAGAAGUGAUGAAUGAGAUAAAAGGCUCUACUUCAUUUGUUCAUUCAUAUCCAUGUUCCCUAAAAGAACAAGGACACUCAAUUUUAACGUAAGUUGUGGUGACAAUUGGAAUGAGAUUAUGGUGAGGAGUAAAGAAUAGAUAUAAAACAAUCUAAAUCAUCGUCAUUCAUGUGUUCAGGGCCACUUUCAUCAAGAGACAAUGAAACCAGACCAUCCCUGCAUAUUGAGAGACAGAUUUUGAUGGGAGGAGAGUGAUAAAUUACUAGAGCCUGCUUAUGUGGUAGAAAUAAUAGAGGGCUAACGAUGGUUACCUUCUCCUUUGAAUUGCAGUAGCUGUUUUAUAUUAAAGAUUAAUGAAAAAUUAGUCUUGUUUUUGGAAAUGCAGUUACCAGAGGGGAGAACAAAAGAACCAAAAUGGAGUGUGUAUGUAUUGGAUUCAUAGUUAACCACUAGCUUCACAUUUUGGUACUGAUUUAUUCAGAACUUUAUCAUAGAUCUCAUGAUGUGUUGUUGUUUUUUGAUGCCAAGUCUAUUCCAACUCCUAGCAACCCUAUAAGACAGAGUAGAACUACCCCAUAAAGUCUCCGAGGCAGUGAUCUUUACAGGAGCAGAUCACCAGGUCUUUAUCCAGGAGAACUACUGGGCUGGUUGAAUAGCUGGCCUUUCGGUUAGCAACUGAACACUUAAUGUUACUUCACCAGGGCUUCUCUUAUGAUAGAAGUAUCACAUGUCUUUUAAUUAGUAAAAUUUAAUCGUUUUUGUCAUAACCCUUAAUAAAUCACAUUCCUUCUACCAACACAAUCAUAUUCCACCUCAGUAGUGUACUUCUCACAAUGUAUUAUUAGGCUCUCACAGUUAAAUGGCAUAUGUAAAAAUUCCUGUACUUCAUGGAAUUAAACAGUAUACACUUCUGGGAAUAUAUACUCAUACUUCGCACUUGAGGUAUUCUCUGCUCUCUGCCCCUGGAUAUUUAUGUAGCUACGAUAAAAAUAACAAUACAGUACAAUUUCACAGUCUUACCUCCUAAAUCCUCCCUCACUAUUCAUGGAUGUGCACUGUGUUAUAAGUAUUAUAGUUCAAAUAACCUUGGUAAUGGUGUAUUAUAUAUUGUUGGAUUCCAUAUGCUAAUGCUUUGGAGGACUUUUGUAUUUUUCAUUAAUAGGACCCUGUUGCUUACUGUAGCUUUAUAGAAGGUGUUUAAUCCUGGUUGUGUCUGUCCUCCAGUAGUAUGUUUCUUCUUCAGUCUCAUGUUUACAUAUAGGUCUAUUGUGUUUACAUAAAAAAAAAUACAUAUAUCACAUGAAAGAUAGCGGUCUGUAGUUUUCCUGUCUUGUAAUGCCUUUUUGGUAGUAGGGCAAUGUUGACCUCAUCACAUAGUUUAGGGAAUGUUUCCUUUGCUUCUAUAUUUUGGAAGACAUGGUAGAAAAUUGAUUUUAUUUUUUUAAAUGUUUGUUAGAGUUCACCAGUAAAAUUGCCGGGCCUGGUGCUUUAUCCUUUGGAAGAUUAUUAAUUAUUGGUUCAAUAUAUUUAGUAGUUACAGGCCUAUUUAGAUAAUCUGUUCAUCCUUGAGUGAAGUCUGGUUGUUGGUGUCCUUCAAGGUGUUCGUCAGUUUCAUAUAAGUUGUCAGAUUUGCUGUGGAAAUGGUUUUGGAAUUUGGUAAUAGGCAGAAGCUGGAGGAAUUUUGAUGUGCUUGAUAGUAAGAGCCUACACUGCCUUGAACAGACUGUUAGAGUUACAAACAUUAAGCAUGGUUCCAAUGAGGGCACAUAAAGAAAUAAAAGAUCCUGUAGAGAAAGUUUCAUCAUGGAUAGAGUUUUGUUAGAGAUUUGGAUGUUAAAUGUAUUUCUGGUGAGGCAUUAAAAGGAAGUGAACAUGUUAUUGGACACUGGAAGAAAUGCAGUCCUUGUUAUAAAGAGGCAGAAAACUUGUCUGCAUGAUGUUGGAAUGUUUUUUGGAAGGUAGAACAUGAAAGUGAUGAACUUGGAUAUUUAGCUGAGGAGAUUACUAUCAGCAAGUACUUAAAAGGGGCUACAUGGUUUCUCCUUGGUGCUUAUAGUGAAAUCUUGGAGGAAAGUGAGAGAUUGAAAAUGAGAUGUACAAAAACAAACCAGAACAUGAUUAUUUGGGUUAUUUGAUUGAAAGAACUAAGUAUGUCCUGAAAGGGCACCUGGGAUCUUUCUAUGCAACCAUUGGCUAAAAAGAUUAGGUUUGCUUUGGAGGAGUGAGUAAACUAUCCAACAAGAAACCCUCUUGACGUAGACUGAAAUGGACAGAGACAAGAUGAAAUAAACUCUGCCUUCUGAAAUUCUACAGGGAGGAAAUGGGCCAAUGGAACUACUGGGUGCAAAUACCUGUAGUCCUCCAGCAAAAGGAAAGAGUGAGCACAGUGGGCAUGUCUGCUGCUUCCUUGGUUUCAGAGGGUGGGGUUGCUGUCUGGGUUAACCAGGAAAAUGAUGCCAUCACCUUAAGUUGAGGGGGUGGGCUGCUCUGCCAGUGGGCUGGUUAAUGGGGUCACCAAGGGCCUAAGUGUUGAAAUCAUUGUUUAGUAGACCAGGAGAAUGGGGCCACCUAAAACCAAGGGGGCAGAGCUGCUGUCCUAGUGGAUCUGGAAGGGGCUUCUGUCCAGAGUUCGGAGGCUAGGUCCCCUUCCAAAAGUCUGGAGGCACGGUUGAUGCUGAGAUAGUCCUGAAGAACAGAUAAUUAUUUUCAAGUUUUGAGAGCUAAUGAGAUGGGCCCUCCUGGGUUUUGGUCUUGCUUGGUACCCAUGGCUCCUUUCCCUCCAAUUUCUUCUUUUUGGAGUAUGAAUGUAUGUCUCAUGCCUGUUCCACCAUUGUACUUUGGAAGCACAUAAUUAGUAUCCUAGGUUUUACAGGUCCACAGAUUAAGAAAAAUUUUGCCACAGGAUGGAACAAACCCAGAGUCUCAUCUGUAUUUGUCCAGAUGGUUCCUAAGAAAAUAGUACAGAAAAUAUCAGACAUCUCCUUAUGUGAGCAUUUAUUAGGAAAAAAAAUAAAGCUGCAGAAAUCAAAAGGAAAUGUCAAUUUUGUUGCGUUUUCUGGCCAAAGAUUAAAGAAAAUUAAAUAGUAAAAACUGAUACAAAUUUUUUUUUAGGAAUUGAAUGAAGAUAGAAGGGAAAGGAACUAAAAUUAGAAAGAAUUUUCAAAUUCUUUUUAGUAAAAAUUACCUGAAAAAUGCUUAUUAAUGGAUAAAUUGCUAUCAAAAUAAGUAGCAAUAAUAGAUUUAAAUAUGAAUCCAUAAUAUUAAAUCUACAAAUAAAUGGAUUAGAAGGUAAAGCUCUUAACAGCAGAAAUCCAUUUAAUAAAUGGAUAAGGAAUAAUGGAAAUAGAAAUUCACCUCAGCAUACACUAUAGUUAUUAUUGUUUUCAAGAGUCAAAAAUGAAAAGUGGAAAUAAUGGGAAGGUUUUGAUGAAAAGAGGAUAUUUAUAAAAUCUUGAGAUUGAUCUUCACAAAAAACUUAAUUGUUAGAUGCUGUAGAGUCAGUUCCAACUCACAGUGACCCUAUGUACAACAGAACAAAAUACCGCCUGGUCCUGCACCAUCCUCAUAAUCAUUGUCAUACUUGAGCCCAUUGUUGCAGUCACUGUGUCAGUCCGUCUCAUUGAGGGUCUUCCUCUUUUUCCCUGACCCUCUACUUUACAAAGCAUGAUGUCCUUUUCCAGGGACUGAUCCCUCCUGAUAAUAUGUCCAAAGUACGUGAGGUGAAGUCACAGGAUAGAACAAACCCAGAGUCUGUCAGUUUGUCAUACUGUGGUGCUUGCGUGUUGCUGUGAUGCUGGAAGCUAUGCCACCAGUAUUCAAAUACCAGCAGGGCCACCCAUGGCGGACAGGUUUCAGCUGACCUUCCAGACUAAGACAGACCAGGAAGGACCCAGCAGUCUACUUUUGAAAAGAAUUAGCCAGUGAAAACCUUAUGAAUAGCAGGAGAACUUACUAAUUACAAAGAGUAAAGUAUUAACUUUAUAGUGUAGAUGUCUAGCAAACAGCACCAUAAUGAACUGAUCAGAAUUAACAUCCUCUGUAAUGGGACAAAUAUAUGUGCUUCUGAUAGGAUGCUCUGAGGACUCGAAUUCAGUGGUGUAGUAUUCUUGGUACAUAAUCAUUUUAACCUAAAUGUAAUCCUGAGAAAACCUUAGAUUCAAAUAAGGAGUUUCACCAAAAUAAAUUGGCUGAAAAUUUCCAAAACUGUCAGGGUAACAAAAAUUUCAGAAAGAAAGAGGAACUGUUUCAGGCUGAAGGAGAAUGAGAAACAUGAAAACCAAAUGCCACGUGUAAUAUUCAUUUUGUUCGGUACCAUCGAGUUGAUUCCAACUCAUAGUGACUUCAUGUGACAGCAGAACUGCUACAUGGGGUUUUCUAGGCUGUAAUCUUUACAGGAGCAGAUUGCCACAUCUUUCUUCCUCGAAGGCGCUGAAUGGGUUUGAACCGCCAACCUUUUAGAUAGCAGCUGAGCACUAAACCAUUGUGUCAGCAGAGCUCCUCGAUCCUCAUGGCAUGAAGGAUAUUAUGGGAACUCAGGAGACUUGAAGGGGGCCUGAUGGUGAGAUGGUAGUAAAGUAUCCAUGUUUUCCAGAUUUUCAUAGCAAUACAGUAAUUAUUUAAGAGAAUAACCUGGUGUUUAGGAAAUUCAUAUUGAAGUAUUUAGGAGUAAAGGGGCAUUAUAUCUUCACUUAUUUCUGAAAUAGUUGAGAAAAAAAGUAAGAGCCUUAUAUAUAUGUACAUGUAUAUGUGUAUGUAUAAGUAAAUGUAUACACACAUUCCUGGCAAUGGAAACUAUGAUUAGCAUUUGGGGGAAAUCGACAAAAUAUAUGGGGAUUCUUAAUAUUAUUUCUGUAAAUAUAUUCUUAAUUAUUUCUGUAAGUGUAAACUUAUUUAAAUAAAAAGAUUAAAAUGCAAUUUAGAAAACAAAAUUUAGAAGUUAAUGCAGCAAUAGCUUCUCACAAAUUAAGGACAAAAUAACCUGUCGUUAAAUAAAAUUCAUAAGUGAUUACAACUAAUACACAAUAAUAAAAAUGCAGGUUUUAGAAAAACAAAAACAUUGUCACAUUGAUCAAGAAAUGAAAAUAGUCACUGGAGAGUUCUAGAAAUCUAUAUUUAGAAAAAAUAUUAAAUCACAAGAGAAAUAUGUUAAACUUAAUUCUCACAUAAAUGAAUGAUUUUUUUUGUAAGGAUGAGCACAAACCUGGUUUCUAUAGGCGAAGGUUAAAAAUGUCCAGCUUUUCCAAAACACUCCAUCAUCUCUAACAUCAACUACUACUCUCAGUACUCUCCCUCCUGUCUUUGGGUUCAGUAAUUCACUGCCACAUCUCACGGAACUCACAAACUGUAUCAAGGAAAUGGCUCAGACAUUUGUGGCAGCUGGCAAGUCCAAAACCCGUGGGUCAGGUGUUGUCUUCUACCGACCCAUGUGUCUGCAGGGACUGACAAACUCAAACCGAAAGGUCAGGCUACGGGCUGCUGGCUCACAAGGCUGCAGAGCAAGUGAAUCAGGUCAGAUGACAGGCUGCCGCUCCACGGGGGACUGCGGAAGCUUGCAAACCCCAGAAUCCACGGGUGAGAUGGCAGGCCACUGACUCAAGUCUCAAGAACCGGAGGUCAAUCGUGGAUCAGGUGUGGGAUCCAAAGUGAGAGAGAGCCCCUCCAGGGCACCUACAAAUAUACAUUGGAUGCAGGCCACGCCCAGAAAAACGUGUAACUUGAGUAACAGUGGGACUCGAGAUAUACCCCACACUAAUCCUACCUCAUCACCAUAAAGAGGAUUUACAACAUAUAACAUGGAGGAUAAUUAAAUCACAAAAUGAAAGACAACCAUACUAUACUGGGAAUCAUGGCCUAGCCACAUUGACACAACCCCAACCAUCACAGGUUCCACAUGCCUUAUUUGCAUAGUCCCACUCAGUCAUUGUGUCUGAGGCACAAGCAGGAUGGCUAGAAGGGCCACGUUAAGUAAUGCAUGCACUGCACACAUCUGUAGAUCUAGAACAAGCUACUUAUUUUCUAGAAAAAUUUGUGAUUUACCUUAACUCAGAAAAAGAUAAAACCUAAUUAGUCAAAUUCACUUUGAAAGUAAAAGGCAGUAAAAAAUAUAUGUAUCCCAAAUAUUGCAGCAAAUUUGAUUUACUUUAGGGGCAGGUUCUAUGAAAAUUUCAACAUACUGGUACUCCCAAAUUUUGUAAUCUCUAUGAGUGUGUUUUAAAGAUUAAGUCUCUUUUCAGCAUUCUGUCAUGCAUCUAUGUCCUGAUUUUUUUUGUUGUUGUUAUCUAAUGCUGUUGUAACAUAAAUACCAAAAGUCAGUGGCUUUAACUAACAGAAAUUUACCUUCUCAUGGUUUAGGAUGCUAAAAAUCCGAAAUCAGGGUGGAGGCUCUACGGAAAGGCUCUCUGUUCCCUGUGGGAGAAGGUCCUUGUAUUUUUUCAGCUCCUCUUCCUGGGUCCUUGGUGAUCUUGUGGCUUUUAUCUUCCUUUCCAUUUCUGCUUGCUUAAUCUGCUCUCUUGUGUUUCCAAAGAGAUAGAUUUAAGAUGAAGUAAAAGAACUGAACAGAAGAUUUCAAAGGGCCUCUCAAGAAGACAAAAUAAAGUAUUAUAAUGACAUGUGCAAAGAGCUGGAGAUGGAACACCAAAAGGGAAGAACACGCUUGGUGUUUCUCAAGCUGAAAGAACUGAAGAAAAAAUUCAAGCCUCGAGUUGCAAUAGUGAAGGAUUCCAUGGGGAAAAUAUUAAAUGAUGCAGGAAGCAUCAAAAGAAGAUGGAAGGAAUACACAGAGUCAUUAUACCAAAAGGAAUUAGUCAAUAUUCAACCAUUUCAAGAGGUUGCAUAAGAUCAGGAACCAGUGGUACUGAAGGAAGAAGUCCAAGCUGCUCUGAAGGCAUUGGUGAAAAACAAGGUUCCAGGAAUUGACGGAAUAUCAAUUGAGAUGUUUCAACAAACAGAUGCAGCGCUGGAGGUGCUUACUUGUCUAUGCCAAGAAAUAUGGAAGACAGCUUCCUGGCCAACUGACUGGAUGAGAUCCAUAUUUAUGCCUAUUCCCAAGAAAGGUGAUCCAACCGAAUGUGGAAAUUAUAGAACAAUAUCAUUAAUAUCACAUGCAAGCAAAAUUUUGCUGAAGAUCAUUCAAAAACAGCUGCAGCAGUAUAUCGACAGGGAACUGGCAGAAAUUCAGGCUGGUUUCAGAAGAGGACGUGGAACCAGGGAUAUCAUUGCUGAUGUCAGAUGGAUCCUGGCUGAAAGCAGAGAAUACCAGAAGGAUGUUUAAAAAAAAAAAAUUUUUUUUUACCUGUGUUUUAUUGACUAUGCAAAGGCAUUCGACUGUGUGGAUCAUAACAAACUAUGGAUAACACUGCGAAGAAUGUGAAUUCCAGGACACUUAAUUGUGCUCAUGAGGAACCUUUACAUAGAUCAAGAGGCAGUUGUUCGGACAGAACAAGGGGAUACUGAUUGGUUUAAAGUCAGGAAAGGUGUGCGUCAGGGUUGUAUUCUUUCACUAUACCUAUUUAAUCUGUAUGCUGAACAAAUAAUCCGAGAAGCUGGACUAUAUGAAGAAGAACGGGGCAUCAGGAUUGGAGGAAGAUUUAUUAACAACCUGCAUUAUGCAGAUGACACAACCUUGCUUGCUGAAAGUGAAGAGGACCUGAAGCACUUACUAAUGAAGGUCAAAGACCGCAGCCUUCCGUAUGGAUUGCACCUCAACAUAAAACAAAAGUCCUCAGAACUGGACCAGUAAGCAACAUCAUGAUAAACGGAGAAAAGAUUGAAGUUGUCAAGGAUUUCAUUUUACUUGGAUCCACAAUCAACACCCAUGGAAGCAGCAGUCAAGAAAUCAGAUGACGCAUUGCAUUGGGUAAAUCUGCUACAAAGGACCUCUUUAAAGUGUUGAAGAGCAAAGAUGUCACCCUGAAGACUAAGGUGCACCUGACCCAAGCCAUGGUAUUUUCAGUCACAUCAUAUGCAUGUGAAAGCUGGAUAAUGAAUAAGGAAGACCAAAGAAGAAUUGACGCCUUUGAAUUGUGGUGUUGGCGAAGAAUAUUGAAUAUACCAUGGACUGCCAAAAGAACGAAGAAAUCUGUCUUAGAAGAAGUACAGCUAGAAUGCUCCUUAGAGGCAAGGAUGGAGAGAUUGUGUCUUACAUACUUUGGACAUGUCGUCAGGAAGGAUCAGUCCCUGGAGAAGGACAUCAUGCUUGACAGAGUACAGGGUCAGCGGAAAAGAGGAAGACCCUCAAUGAGGUGGAUUGACACAGUGGCUGCAACAAUGAGCUCAAGCAUAACGAUUGUAAGGAUGGCUCAGAGGCAAGGAUGGUGAGACUGCGUCUUACAUACUUUGAACAUGUUGUCAGGAGGGAUCAGUCCCUGGAGAAGGACAUCAUGCUUGGCAGAGUACAGGGUCAGCGGAAAAGAGGAAGACCCUCAAUGAGGUGGACUGACACAGCAGCUGCAACAAUGAGCUCAAGCAUAACGAUUGUAAGGAUGGCACACGACCGGGCAGUGUUUGAUUCUGUUGUGCAUAGGGUCACUAUGAGUCAGAACCGACUCGACGGCACCUAACAACAACAGAAAUGGGGCUAUUGGAAACUUACUAAUCUAAUUUUACUUUCUUUAGUGUUCAUAUAAAGAAUACCAAAACCAAACCCGUUGCUGUCGAAUCGAUUGUGACUCAUGUAACCCUAUAGGACAGAGUAAAACUGCCCCAUAGGUGGAUUUGGGCUGCCGACCUUUUGGUUAGCAUCUGAGCUCUUUAACCACUGCACCACCAGGGCUCAUAUAAAGAAUAGACCGCCCUAAGAAUACCCUUAGAAAUAUAGUAAAAUUAUUAUUUUGUGAAAAAGAAUCCAAAUGCAUUUUCCAGGCUUUGUCAGCCCCAGCUAAAUGAACAUUUCAAAAUAAAAAACAACAUAGGUAAAAUAUGUAACAAUGUUUAAAGAAAUACGCUUUGUAGUUACUCUCAAAAUGUUAAGUGCAUUUGAAAUUAGGUUAUAUUUAGAAAUGAAAGAUUUAAGCAAAAUUGAUAUCACCAAAGUUUGUCUCAAAGGCAUUGAGUUUAUCAUUCAUCUCACGUGUGGAAUGGAUUAAGUACAAAGAAGAGCAACCCAAUUUAUAUCUAAAGUUACUGUUACUUCUGCAAAGGUUAAUGACCUAAAUUAUCACAUGCGUGAGCCCUCCAGGCCCCAGCCCCAGAUCAGGCCCUAGUAAAGACUCAGGAACUGAGCACAGUGCUGAGUCUGCCUCUUGGAUGCCGGACGCAUAGAAAUGAAAAUGAUGCUCUGAGAGGCGUCAGGAUGGAACUGCACUUUUCCACAGGCACAGUUUUACAUUUCAUACAACUCCAUACUCUUUGCCAUCCAGUCAAUUCCGACUCAUAGCCACCCUAUAGGAGUAAAACUGUCCCAUAGGGUUUCCAGGGAGCGGCUGGUGGAUUUGAAUUGCGGAGCUCUUAACCACUACAUCACCCCACAAACAACACCAGCCCCACUUAAUUAAAUUGCUUAAAUAAUUCUCAUCGCAAGAGACUUCCCUGGAUCCAAACUCCGCCACGUAUCAGACUUCGCCCCACCCAGUCUCAGCGCCCUAAAUAGCUUCUGCCUCACUACGACCCACUCGCAAAUAAUACGUUUUGACUUAAUCAGUUUUCAACUUAAGAGGAAAACAUCGCAGCUGCUAGUAUGUGUUCCACACAACUCUUAAGCUUUUACCUUAAACUGUGAAACACUUAAAAAGAGCAAGCCUUCUCCACAGGACACCAAAGAGAUUUAAGCGUUUCCAAAUCCCAAGGUGCCCAGGAAGACAGGCCUGGCGGUCUGCUCCCCAAAGGUCUCAGCCAUAAAAACUUUAUAGAGCGGUUUUCUGCAGCACACGGGGUCGCUUGACUCAGACUGCAUUGAUUGGCAAAGUUCCUUUGUUUUGGUUCAUGGUGUCCGGCUCCGCCCAGGCGCUGCUCACUCCCCAACACGUCGCCUGCGGCCGCGCGCAUGCGCGGUUGCUUCCAGACGCGGAAGCUUACCGACGGAGAGACGGUCCCAGUAGCUUGACUUCUGCCCUGAACUCCGGGCUCAUGUGCCCAGCUGGCUGCUCGACAUCUCUGCUGGCGCCUAUUACAGCCAUCUCCACCUUAAACCGUGCAGCACUGACCUCAUGAGCUUUCCUGAAGGUGUCCAGGGCUCCGUGGAGGGCGGCUGUGAACAUCCUGGGGCUCAGGUGAACAUCUCGGAUUGACUUCUCAAGACUGAUCUUGCCUGAGAACGAAGCCUGGAAGAAGAGGAAAGAAAGAGACAUCCAGAAUGGCUCUUUCCCAGGAACUGUUGACAUUCAGGGAUGUGGCCAUAGAAUUCUCUCAGGAGGAGUGGGAAUACCUAGACCCUGCUCAGAGGACUUUGUACUGGGACGUGAUGUUGGAGAACUACAGCAACCUGGUCUCCCUGGAAGUCUCUCUUUCUGAGAUGAAUAUUAUCUCCAUUUUGAAGAAAGAGACAGAGCCCUGGACUGUGGAGAACAACGUGAGAAUGACAGAAAACCCAGAUGUCUCUCCUGCAUGUGUAAUUGAGGAAUUAUCACCAAAAGAGAUCAUUAAUAAAGGAGAAUUAUUGCAGACAGUGAUGUUAGAAACACAUGAGUGCCAUGGCAUCGAGGAUUUUGACUUCAGGCAAGUCAGGGAAAGUACGCAUGAGUUUGAGAAUCGGUGGGGAGAUAAUGAAAGAAAUGAUAAAGGAGCGACUAUGACCUAUAACAAAGAUCUCACUAUAAGAAUGGAACCCCAUGUUACAAGAGAUGAAGGAAACGAGUAUAUGACAUGUUUUGAAAACAAGAUUGGACUCAGCUUUCAGUCCUAUCUGCCUGAACUGCAUGGAUUUCAAACUGGAGAGAAAAUGUACGAAUAUAAGCAAGUUGAGAAGUCUACCAACGAUGAUUCUUCAGUUUCACCAUUUCAAAGAAGUCCUCCUAGUAUCAAAACCAACAUCUUUAAUGAAUAUGGGGAGGUUUUCAUGCAUCCUUCAUUACUCACACAAUAUCAGAAAGCUCAUAUUACAAAACAACUUUACAGCUAUAAUGAAUGUGGGGUGGAUUUUAGCCAAAGGUCAGUGUUUACUAAUCUCCAGGGAAUUCAUUCUGUGCAGAGACUUUACAAAGGUAAUGAGUGUGACACGGCCUUUAAGUGUGGAUCGAACGUCACUAAUACCGGAGAGACACCGUAUAAAUGUGAGGUAUGUGGCAAGUUCUUUCGUCAGAAUUCAAACCUUGCAAAUCAUCUGAGAAUUCACACUGGAGAGAAACCUUACAAAUGCAGUGAAUGUGGCAAAGCCUUUAGGUGGCGCUCAGUUCUCACUAAACAUCAGAGAAUCCAUACUGGAGAGAAACCAUACAAAUGUAUUGUGUGUGGCAAGGCUUUUAUCCAAAGAGCAAACCUUGUGAAACACCACCGAAUUCAUACCGGAGAGAAACCUUACAAAUGUAAUGAAUGUGGUAAGGCUUUUAUCAAUAAUUCAAGCCUCGUAGAACAUCAAAGAAUUCAUACUGGAGAGAAACCUUAUAAAUGUAAUGAUUGCGGCAAAGCCUUUAAGUGGGGCUCAAAUCUUACUAGCCAUCAGAGAACCCAUAAUGGAGAGAAAUUAUUUAAAUGUAAUGUAUGUGGCAAGUUUUUUAGUCAGAAUUCAAGCCUUAUAACUCAUUAUAGAAUUCAUACUGGAGAGAAACCUUACGAAUGUAAUUAUUGUGGUAAGGCUUUUAUCCAUAAUUCAAGUCUUGUGGAGCAUCAGAGAAUUCAUACUGGAGAGAAACCUUACAAAUGUAAUGCGUGUAGCAAAACCUUUAAAUGGGGAUCAGUCUUUGCUAAACAUCAGAGAAUCCAUACUGGAGAGAAGCCAUAUAAAUGUAACGUAUGCGGUAAGUUCUUUACUCAGAGUUCAAGCCUUACAACUCAUUAUAGAAUUCAUACUGGAGAGAAACCUUAUGAAUGUAACGAAUGUGGCCAGGCUUUUAUUCAUAGUUCAAGCCUUGUGUAUCAUCAGAAAAUUCAUAUUGGAGAGAAACAUUACAAACGUAUUGAACGUGCCCAGGCUUUUGCCCAAAGUGCAAGCUUUAUGGAGCAUCAAAGAAUUCAUACUGGAGAGGGACCUUACAAAUGUGAUGAAUGUGGUAAGGAAUUCAUGCGUUCAUACCAGUCACUUCAUGAGAGAAUUCAUACUGGAGAGAAAAUGUACAAAUGCGAUGAGUGUUGGAAUGCCUUAAAUGUGGCUCACUUCUCACUAGAUAUCAGAGACUCCAUUAUGGAACAAAAUUACAUAGAUGUGAAGUAUGUGGCAGACUCCCUGGGUGGUGCAGACAGUUAACUGCCCAGCUGCUAGCUGAAAGGCUGGAGGUUUGACUCCACCCAGAGGCAGCUUAGAAGAGAGGCCUGGUGAUCUACUUCUGAAAAAUCAGUGAUUGAAAACCCUGUGGAGCACAGUUCUCUUACACACAUGAAGUCUCCAUGAGUCAGAGUUGACUUGAUGGCAACUGGUAAUGAAGUCGAUGGAUCCAGGAUGGAAUGAAUGUAACAAAAUAACUGUAUGACACGUGUGGAACAACCUUAAUGAGUAGGCUAGGUGUGCUGACCUGAGUGACUUUGGAAGGCAAAAGAACUGCCCAUAAGUACUGUAGUCUAGUUAAUAAAAUUGUUUCCAUGUGGUUACAGGUUAACAGUUCUGAUUGUUACGCAUUUUACUGCUGCACAUGUAGACUGAAAUUGAACAAUUAAGAAAAUGUGUAGCAGAUGGUGGGAACUAGGCUUCUCAUUGUUGAAGUGGAAGUUUAUAGAUCAGCAAGAGGAGUAACGGAUUCGAGUUGGAGACAUUAGUAAGAACUCGUAUUUAACUUAAUGCUGAUACAGAUGUCUAAGUAUAGAAAUAUUUACAGAUACGUGUGUAUAGACAUGGGUGAGUAUAUACAUGUCUAUUUCUUUGUUCUAUCAGCUGAAAGUGCCUAAAGAGACGAUAACCCAUUGGCAUCAAGCACAACUAGCACACAGAUCUUGGUUUCUAAUACCAUUCUCCCAAAAAAGGAACCAGAGUUCCUUGUUGAGUUGACAGAUUCUAGGACAGAGGUAGGUAAUAAUACAUGGUGAACCUGGAGCAUCUUAAAUUGCCGGAAAGUAAGAGUGCUAACAAACAAACAGACAAACACUUUGAUGGAGAAUUUGACAAAGGAAAAAGACACAGGAGCCAAAUUGAAGAGCUCCCAGUGAAUGGCCAAAGCUAUAACAAUUUGAGCAGCAAAAUAAAUACAGUAAUACCGAAUUAUAACCAAAAGUGUAAAAUCAAGAUCUAGAAGCCUAUACUGAAAUAAAUGAUUGAAUUAAUUACUAAAUGGGAGACAGGAGAUAAAUCUCCUGUGAAGUCAAUUUCAAAUAAAAUAUGUCAAUGUUCUACCUUAAAGGGGGGAGAGGACAACUCCCCACUUCUUAUGCGUGGCUUGUACAUAGGGACUUCCUUCAAAAGGAUAUGGUACGGAGUAACUUUACAGUGGAGAAGCCUGAGAAACACUACUUCAGCCAGGUGAUCAAGUCAACAUCUGCAAUGAUGUCAUGUUAAUUGUAUGUUCCUUUGAUGUGACACGAUGAAAAUGGCACUUCUGUGGUCUUUCUCCCAAAAACCUGUUUCAUCCAUCUAAUCAUGAGAAAAACAUCAGACAAAUUCCAGUAGAGGGACAUCGUCUAAUAUACCUGACCAUACUCCUUAAAACUGUCAAGGUCAUCAAAACCAAGGAGUGUCUGAGAAUUGUCACAACAAAGAGGAGCCUAAGGAGACAUGACAACUAAAUAUAAUGUGGUAAAUACUAAAGGAAAUCUGAGUAACCUAUAGACUUUAGUUAAUAAUAGUGUAUCAAUAUUGGUUCAUUACUUGUAACAGAUAUAACAUACAAAGUAAGAUGGUUAAAAAAAUGUGUGGGGGGUGGGGACACGGGAACACACUGUCUUCUCCAUUUUUGUGUAAAACUUCUGAAAAAUAACAUCUAGUAAUAAAUUAUUUUAAAGGCACAGAGGAGUAACCGCAGCCUUGGAUGUUUAAAAUGAUGGGCAUGAGGUUUUAAGCACACUCAAGUUUUGAAACUACCAUUAAUCCAGUGUGAAGUAGACAAAUUAUCUGAAGAAAGAGUAAGUUUAUAGUCUAGACGCUGCAUUUUGAAGCUUCAGUUGAUCCCCUACAGAACUAAAACUCAUUCAACCAGGGGUUGAUCCUGACUUCUGGAGGGAAAAUCCCUCACCGAGCGAGACCAGGUUCCUUUAGUUCUCUACAUCAAAUCCCAAUACAAAGCCAUCUGAGCAGGAGUCCAGACAUUCUCCGUCCUAUGGAAAGAACUCUGGAAAGUCCACAUCCAGAAUGCCAACAGUCCUUGACACAUUUCACCAAGGGCUCAAGGGGGAAUUUGUUAUUUUUACACAAUAUGAGAAGAGGCAAGAGAUGUAAGAAUUGGUUGGGGUUAAGGUGAGUUUCAGAUGGGUCUGUGCAAGAUAGUUUUAGCGAGUUAUGUAUCCCUAAUUCGAUCCUAUGUUAUAAAUGCACAUAUCACUGGGUUUUAUGUUUUUGAGGAUGAUGAAUUCGUAAAAAGGUUUAAUACAGGCUUGGCUGUUACUAAGUGCAUGAUUUUGUAUUCUGCCCCCCAUGUGAUGUAUAAUUUCUCAGAUGAGCCAGAGCAACAAGUAAUGCCUGCAGGGAUGACAGAGUCAAUAGGGGCUUUAAAGAAAGGUCAGCAUCUCACCUUGUGAUGAUGCUAAGAGCAAGGACUAGAACUUCUAAGCAUUUCUCAGGUGCUAAGAAUUGCGUAGAGGAGCUGUGGUGGCGCAAAGAGCUAAGCAUUUGAUUACUGAUGAAAGGUUAGCGGUUCGAACUUAACCCAUUGGCUUUAGAGAGAGACCAGUUGGUCUGCUCCUGUAAAGAUUACAGCCUAAAAAGCCUAACGGGGCAGUUCUACUCUGUCUCAUGGGGUCAUUGUGAGUCAGAAUCAACUCGAUGGUAUACAACAACAAGUAUUACUGUAAAUAGUGUUUUAACAUGUCUGUUUAUUGUGCCAAGGUGCUGAAGCGUGUGAGCAAAAAAAACUGUAAUGAAAAUACAUGGGAAUUCCAUCAUUUAGAGACAGCUAGUCUUUAAAAAAAUAAUAAAAUAAAAAAAUUUUUUUUUUUUUUUUUUAGUCUUUAGUGUUUGGCACCCUGGGGGCACAGUGGUUAAAGAGCUGGCUUGAUAACCAAGAUUGGCAGUUCGAAUCCAACAGCCGCUCCUUGGAAACGCUAUGAGGGCCAUUCUACCCUGUCCUAUAGGGUCGCUAUGAGUCGGAAUCGACAGCAGCAGGUCUUUUAGAGUAUCGUGUGUGUGAACAUAGAUUCUUGUGUUCUUAAGACACUAUUAUUCCAUAAAUAAAUUUUCCAUAUUCUUUUGCAUGGCAUUAAUUUUUAUACUAUCAUGUUAAUGAGUUAAGAGUAGCAAAAAUGCUCUUGUGGGUGUGCAUAUAUAAUACAGUCUUUUAACCAAUGUUUGUUUUUUUGUUUCUUAAUUAGAAAAGCCUUGUCAGUGUCCUUUUAAUUUUGUACUGGUUGCUUGACUGACUGAUUGUUUAGUUUCAAUUCUAAAGCCUAACCACCUGGGUUCAAGUGCAAGCUCUGACACUUAUUAGCCGUUUGACGUAAGCCAAGUUACUUAGAGUCUCUGGGACACAGUUUGUCCUCUGUAAGGUGGGAACUAUGCUUUCCAGCAUAGAAUAUUCAUCUUUCCAAGUCAAAUUAAUAAAGGACCUGAUUUUCUUUAAAUAUUUUACGUAUCUUUGGUGAGUUUGAGACCAAGGAUUUAUUACAAUUAGAGGGCAUUGAUGAGAAAAUCAUUUCUAUUACUGAUCUUGUAAAGACAGCCAAGGUCUCCCUUCAAUAAUUUUUACUUCUGUGGGCAAUAAAGUCAAUUUGAGAGGCAGCAGGGGCAUGAUGAAAGGAAUUACCAAGUCAUGACGAUUACAGUAAAACCAGCAAAAACCAGAACCUGUGUAAGGUGGAAACCUGUCAGAGAAGAAAAACGCAAAUAUUUUCCACUAAUAAAGAGCGAUAGAAAGUGGAAAGGCUGCACCUUGUCAAAGGCGGGAAACUUUUGAGACUGGGAAAACAAGGCAGUCCCCGGUGAGCUCUGCCUCUCAGGUUUCACUGCAUAAUAGAAACCUAAAAAGAUACAGAAGAUAAGUCAUCAAAUGAUUUCCACCUAAUGACAGUUUUUUUUACACAAGAGUAUUCUGUAAAGGAAAGAGCAAAUCAAAAGUAUAAACGUGGUAAGUCUUCCAUAAGUCGGAAUCAACUCAACGGCACUGGGCUUGGUUUUUUUUGGUAAGUCUUCCAUAAGAACUUUGACAAAACUAAAAAACAGCAUUGUCUAUGCAGGAAACAAAUGUAUGGAAUGAUUGGAAAAUAAUACCCAUUGCCCUUGAAUCAAUUCCGAUUCAUAGCGACCUUACAGGACAGAGUAGAACUACCCCAUAGAGUUUCCAAGGAGCACCUGGCGGAUUUGAACUGCUGACCUCUUGGUUCGCAGUUGUAGCACUUAACCACUACGCCACCAGGGUUUCCUUACUAAGGAUAAGAUGUACCAAAAAAAGCCACACACACACACAAAAAGGACAGUGGUAAGUACCUUUCGCCCUAACUCAUACAUCAUAAUUCAGGGACUACUUGUACUUCAUAGUAGAUGUUAAGUCACAGAUCCUACCCUAAAAAUUAUUAAGGGUAGAUGAAGCUGUUGGAAACUUGAUAAUCUAAUUUUGCAUUAAUGUUCAUAUGAAGAAAUACCACCCUAUCAAAUGCUUUGGAGCCCUGGUGGUGCAGUGUUUAAGUGCUCGGCUGUUAACUGAAAAGUUGGUGGUUCAAACCUACCAGCCACUCUGCAAGAGAAAGACGUGACAGAGCUUCUGUAAAGAUUGGAAGACUCUCUGGGACAGUUCUCCUCUGUCACAUUGGGUCACUAUGAGUUGGAAUCAACAGCUAUGAGUAUGGUUUUUGGUUUUUUUAUCAAAUGCUUUAGGAGCCCUGGUGGUGCCCUGCUUAAGCACUUGGCUGCUAACAGAAAAGUCAGCGGUUUGAACCCACCAGCUGCUCUGCAGCAGAAAAGACUUGGAGAUGUGCUCUAGUAAAGAAUCAGCCUAGGUAGCCCUAUAGGGGUUGCUAUGAAUCAGAAUCUACCAGAUGGCACACUACAACAAUCAAUUGCCUGUAGAAAUAUUGUAGAGAUAAUUUUUCUUUAGGGGAAGAUGAGUCCAAAUGCAUUUUACAGGCUUCCUUAUCCACACCUGAAAGAACAUUUUGGAAUAGAAAACAAGGAAAAUAGGUAAAAUAGAUAACCUUAAAAAAAAAAUAAAGGUGUGUAGUUACUCUUGGAAUAACCGUCAAGUGAAUUUAUAAUUACAUUUAGAAAUUAAAGAUUUAAGCAAAAAUAUGUCAUCAAAGUUUAUCUGAAAGGUAUUGGAGUUUAUCAUUCAUCUCAAGUGUGCAAUAGAAUAACAAGUGUAAAAAAGAACAACCCAAUUUUUUUUUUAAGUUAUUGCCAUUUGUAAAGAGAAGGUUGGUGACCUAAGUUACACAUGCCUUGGCCCUCCAGGCCGCACACUCCAAGUCUGGCCCUUAGAAAGUCUCAGGAACUAAGCACAAAAUGAGUCUCUACCCCCAAGGUGCAUGAGGGAUAGAAAUGGAAAUGAUGCUUGAUGGGGCGUCAGGAUAAAACCAAACAUUCGCACAGGCACAGUUUUGCCUUUUUGCAUCUCCUACACAGACAGUUGCAGUGCUUUCUUAAUUAAAUGGCUUAAAUAAAUUCUAAUUGCAGGAGCAGUUUCUGAGUCGAACCACUUCAGCACAUCAACCCUCUAGCCCCCAGAAAUGAGCGCCUCAUUCGUAGGACGCAUGUCUCUACUCCCUCACAAAAAUUGCAUUCAAGAGGAAAACAUCGCAGUUUCCAACGUAAGCGGUCCCCCAACUCUCAGCUUUAACCUCAAGCUGUCCGAAAUAUUAACACUAAAAAGACUCUAGUGUUUCCAAACC